rnacentral:rRNA from 1 species
CGGCGCAAUGGCCUUUAACCACUGACCAAACCCAAUGCGCGCAAUAGACAACCCAGCCAGCAAUACACCGCCGGUAGGAGAGACCAGGUUCGUCAGGCCAUUGCCAAAUUGAUAAGCCAUCACCAUCGCCUCUUUAUUGAUACCAACCAAAUCGCCUAACGGCGCCAGCACGGGCAUAGUGAGCGCGGCCUCGCCCGAAGAUGAGGGCACAAAAAAAGUGAUGACGUUAUGCCCUAAUAGCAUCAGAGUGGUAAACGCAUACUGCGGCAACCCUUCCAGCAUUUCAGACAAACCAAAUAGCAACGUAUCGAUAAUUCGUCCGUUCUCCGCCACCACCAGAAUACCGCGCGCAAGACCUAUGACUACGGCGGCGUAGACAAACUCUUUGCACCCUUCGACAAAGCUGUCGGCCAUCCCGCUAAUACCCAUGCGCCCGACGAUCCCGGAAAACAGCCCCAGAGCCAGGAACACAGAGCCGAUCUCAACCAUGUACCAGCCACGCGUGAUUAGCCCCCAUGAGAUGACGGCCAGCGCCAGCACAAAGGCGAUGAUAAUUACCCGAUCGGCGAUGGAAAAAUGGACCGACGUAUCCUGUAUCGACAAAAACUGCUCGCGGUUGCGACAAUCAUUUUCAUAUACCGGCGACUUUUGCGGAGUGCGUUUAACACGGUGCGCGUACCACAUGGUGUAAGCAAUCGCCAGUAGCGUGAAGACCAGCCAUGCAAUAGCACGUAGCCAAAGCUGCGGAUUUCCCUGAAUACCCGCUACGCCCUGGGCAAUGAGUACAGAGAACGGAUUGGUCAUUGCGCCAACGUAGCCAAUCUGGGUUCCCAGAAAAAGAAUCAGGAUCGCAGUCAUUGAGUCAUAACCCAGCGCGAACAUCAGGGAGAUAAAGAUCGCAUACAGGGGAAUCACCUCCUCGCUCAUACCAAAAGUCGCGCCUCCCAGGCUAAACAAGGUCAUUGCGAUAGGGAUAACCAAAAUUCCUUUACCUGCCAGGCGUUCAGCCAGCGCCACCAGACCGCUCAAUUGCGCCAGUACGUAAAAUAAUGCCAAAAGCGCCACCAACAAUGAGCACAAACGCCACUACGUCGGCGGCCUUGAUAAUCCCCUCCAUCGGCGCGGCCAGUACGGCGGCAAUACCCUGACGUAAAUCGCCCUCGCUGCUGACUUUGUCCAGCAGAUGAUAAGACCCUGGGAUCACUAAUGUUUUCGUUUCACCGCCGGGUAAGGUCACUGAGUGAUAAUCAAAACUGCCGCUGGGAAUACACCAUGUCAGCAGCGCUACUAAUAUAAUAAUGAAGAAAAUCAGAGCGUA